rnacentral:rRNA from 1 species
CCCUUAGAUGUUCUGGGCCGCACGCGCGCUACACUGAUGCAUUCAACGAGCCUAUCCUUGACCGACAGGUCCGGGUAAUCUUUGAAUCUGCAUCGUGACGGGGAUAGAUUAUUGCAAUUAUUAAUCUUCAACGAGGAAUGCCUAGUAGGCGUAAGUCAUCAGCUUGCGUCGAUUACGUCCCUGCCCUUUGUACACACCGCCCGUCGCUCCUACCGAUUGGGUGUGCUGGUGAAAUGUUCGGAUCGGCCGUUUGUCGCGGUUUCCGCGGCUCGUGGCUGAGAAGUUCAUUAAACCCUCCCACCUAGAGGAAGGAGAAGUCGUAACA